GGGGCUGUCAAGGUUUCGACAGGUUAAUGUUUGAUUCGGGUGGCAGUGGAGUGAUGACCUAAUCAUCAAACAAAUUAAACGCAAAUACAAAUAGAAGCGCAAGCUUCGCAUUCGCUGCUUAAUUUAACGCUAGAGGCGUUCGCAGCGCCCUAUUGGAAGAGUAGCCGUCUUCUUUCAAUAGUGUAAAAAAACGGAUACGAGGAAUAAUAACCUAGCUUAUUCCUUCGACAAUGAAUAGGUAAAUUCGAAUAUAUUUUGGUGACUUUAAAAGUAUUCGUCUUAUGACAAAGUAACUAAACUGUAGAGGCUCGAAUGUGGGACUUCUCUUGGACAGGGGUUCGACUCCCCUCAGCUCCACUA
rfam:Bulleidia extructa W1219 contig00009, whole genome shotgun sequence.